AGGGCGCAUGGCGGAUGCCUUGGCUCUCGGAGGCGAUGAAGGACGUGAUAAGCUGCGAUAAGCUUUGGGGAGGUGCAAAUGACCUUUGAUCCAGAGAUUUCCGAAUGGGACAACCCAAUAUCUUGAAGAGGUAUUAUCCAACGUUGUUGGAGGCUAACGCAGGGAACUGAAACAUCUUAGUACCUGCAGGAAAAGAAAAUAAACAAUGAUUCCCCCAGUAGUGGCGAGCGAACGGGGAACAGCCCAAACCAUCCAUGUUACGGCAUGGGUGGGGUUGUAGGACUACGCCGUUGCAUGAAGACAUCAGAGAAGAACUUUCUGGAAAGAAAGACCAUAGAGCAUGACAGUUGCGUAUUCGAAUGUUGUCGAAGCAUAGUAGUAUCCUGAGUAGCGCGGAGCACGAGGAAUUCUGCGUGAAUCUGCCGGGACCAUCCGGUAAGGCUAAAUACUCCCGAGAGACCGAUAGCGAACCAGUACCGUGAGGGAAAGGUGAAAAGCACUUCGAACAGAAGAGUGAAAUAGUUCCUGAAACCGUGCGCCUACAAGCGGUCGGAGCUCGUUAAUGAGUGACGGCGUGCCUUUUGCAUAAUGAACCUACGAGUUGCCUUUGCCGGCAAGGUUAAGUGUGACGACACACGUAUCCGAAGCGAAAGCGAGUCUGAACAGGGCGUAUAGUCGGCAGUGGCAGACGCGAAACCAAGUGAUCUACCCUUGGCCAGGUUGAAGGCUGGGUAACACCAGCUGGAGGACCGCACCAAUAAGCGUUGAAAAGCUUCUGGAUGAGCUGAGGGUAGGGGUGAAAGGCUAAUCAAACUUGGAGAUAGCUCGUACUCCCCGAAAUGCAUUUAGGUGCAGCCUUGCGGGUUACUGAUGUGAGGUAGAGCGACUGAUAAGAUGCGAGGGCUUCACCGCCUAUCAAGUCUUGACAAACUCCGAAUGCGCAUCAGUUCUACCGCAGGAGUGAGGGCAUGGGUGCUAAGGUCCGUGCCCGAGAGGAGAAGAAUCCGGACCACCUGCUAAGGUCCCGAAAUGACAGCUAAGUUAAACUAACGAAGUCUGACUGCUAAGACAGCUAGGAUGUUGGCUUGGAAGCAGCCAUUCAUUUAAAGAGUGCGUAACAGCUCACUAGUCGAGGAGUCGGGCGUGGAUAAUAAUCGGGUAUCAAGUUGUCUACCGAAGCAGUGGGAUCAUUUAUAUGAUCGGUAGGGGAGCAUUCCAGUCAGCGUCGAAGGCGUACCGUGAGGUAUUCUGGAGCGUCUGGAAAAGCAAAUGUAGGUAUAAGUAACGAUAAAGGGGGCGGGAAACCCCCUCGCCGAAAGACUAAGGUUUCCUGAUCAACGCUAAUCGGAUCAGGGUCAGUCGGGUCCUAAGGCUCAGCCGAACGGCGAUGCCGAUGGCAGAAACGGUUAAUAUUCCGUUACUACCUUCAGGAGUGACGUGGAGACGCAGUAGUGACAGUGCCGCCAUCUGACGGAAUAGAUGGUUGAAGGGUGUAGGAGUCGAUCAUGGCAGGCAAAUCCACCAUGAGAUCCGAACCUGAUAGUAUGCCGCGUCCUUCGGGACAAGGCAAUAGUGCGCGUAAGCAUGCUGCCGAGAAAAUCCGCUAAACUUAAUCCUGCAGGUACCCGUACCGCAAACGGACACACGUAGUCGGGAUGAAUAUUCUAAGGCGCUUGAGUGAUUCACGGUUAAGGAACUAGGCAAACUGACCCUGUAACUUCGGGAUAAAGGGUCCCUACCCUUUUAUGGGAGGGCGCAGAGAAUCGGUCCAGGCAACUGUUUAACAAAAACACAGGGCUGUGCCAAAUCGAAAGAUCCAGUAUACAGCCUGACACCUGCCCGGUGCUGGAAGGUUAAGAGGAGAUGUCAUCGAUAAGAGAAGCGUUGAAUUGAAGCCCCAGUAAACGGCGGCCGUAACUAUAACGGUCCUAAGGUAGCGAAAUUCCUUGUCGGGUAAGUUCCGACCUGCACGAAUGGUGUAAUGAUCCGGACGCUGUCUCAACCAUGAGCUCAGUGAAAUUGUAGUAUCGGUGAAGAUGCCGAUUACCCGCGAUGGGACGAAAAGACCCCGUGAACCUUUACUAUAGCUUAUCAUUGAAUCUGGGCACGUGAUGUGUAGGAUAGGUCGGAGGCUUUGAAGCAGGUACGCCAGUAUUUGUGGAGCCGCUGUUGAAAUACGACCCUUUAUUUGUUUGGAUUCUAACCCGUGGAUACGGGGACAUUGAUUGGUGGGUAGUUUGACUGGGGUGGUCGCCUCCAAAAGCGUAACGGAGGCUUCUAAAGGUGCCCUCCGGCCGAUUGGUAACCGGCCUUAGAGUGUAAUGGCAUAAGGGCGCUUGACUGGGAGACUGACAAGUCGAUCAGGUAGGAAACUAGAGCAUAGUGAUCCGGUGUUUCCGUAUGGAAGGGACAUCGCUCAAAGGAUAAAAGGUACUCCGGGGAUAACAGGCUGAUCCCUCCCAAGAGCUCAUAUCGACGGAGUGGUUUGGCACCUCGAUGUCGGCUCGUCACAUCCUGGGGCUGGAGAAGGUCCCAAGGGUUGGGCUGUUCGCCCAUUAAAGUGGCACGCGAGCUGGGUUCAGAACGUCGUGAGACAGUUCGGUCUCUAUCUAUCGUGGGCGUAUGAAAUUUGCGUGGCUCUGACACUAGUACGAGAGGACCGUGUUGGACAGACCUCUGGUUUGCCGGUUGUGCCGCCAGGUGCAUUGCCGGGUAUCUAAGUCUGGAUCGGAUAAGUGCUGAAAGCAUCUAAGUACGAAGCCGGCCACAAGAUUAGAUUUCUCAGGGUCGUUGU
rnacentral:rRNA from 1 species